rnacentral:rRNA from 1 species
GCUCAGUAGGUCUCCUGCUAAAUCCAAUCGCUUAACGAUUGACCCGCAGGAGAUACCGCUGGACUAGGAGGCGGGAGAGGUGGACGGUACUCCACAGGUAGGGGUAAAAUCCUUUGAUCUGUGGAAGACCACCAGAUUGGCUGUGGUGUCCACAGUCAAGGUGUAUGGCGAAGGCGGUCCACCAGAACGCGCUCGACGGUGAGGGAUGAAAGCUGGGGGAGCGAACCGGAUUAGAUACCCGGGUAGUCCCAGCCGUAAACGAUGCGAGCUAGAUGAUCCGGUCGCAAAUCGCGAUCGGAGUGUCGCAGGGAAGCCGUUAAGCUCGCCGCCUGGGGAGUACGGUCGCAAGGCUGAAACUGA